UGUUUGCCUUUGGAUGCGCUGGGGACCCCACCCAGGGCUGGCUAGGAAGGGAAGACGCUGGGAUGAAGGGCGGGGAGAGGGAGAGCCUGGGCCCCUCGGGGACCCUGGAGGUGCGGGCCGUGUGGCGGGGCCUCUGCAGGGGGUGCCAGCUCUCUCUGCGUUCCGCCCAGCCCCCUCUAUCCCGUCCUCUCUCCUGCCUCCCCGCCCCAGCUCCCCGCCGCUCUCCCCGGAGCCUCUGAAGGAUCGCUGGUGCCGGAUGCAGCGUCAAGACCGGCGCAGCGCUCCACAGUUGGCACCCCCGGUGGCCUGGGCAGCUCCGGGAGGGAGGAGCCGCUGUAGAAAUAGGAGAAGCCAAGCCGUUCGCCAGGCUUGGGGUCUGAAAGGGAGCUCACAUUUAUAGUUCCUGCGGCCGUGAGCCAGGCGCUGCUGGCUCACGCUUUAUCGUGCUAGUAACAGUCCCGAAUUGGAAACCCUGCCUUCAGAACCAAACACGGGCGCGAGGAGGUGACUGAGCUCCGAGGCUCAGCCGGGUUUCGAACCCAGGUCUGCAGGAGUCUCAGCCAGCCGUGUGCCUUAGAGCUCCAGGGAACCUGAGCACAGUCUCCUCCCGCCCCGUGUGCAGGACGCUUGACCUUGUGAGUCUCGGGUUCCUUCCUCACCUGUAGACUCACAGGACACCGAAUCUGGCUGCAUGCUGAUUAAAUGGGGAAACAGGAGGACGUCCUUCUCCCGGAAAGUGAUUGUGACAGUGAGCGUGGCGACGUCCCAGGCUUUGGAUGGACAGUAAAUGCGCCGAAGACAAGCUUAAGUCCUGUGUCUUCCUGAGAGAUGCGCUGGGCUUUGGGCAGAGGCCAGUCCACAGCGCAGUGUAAGGAGGGCGAGGCUUAGAUUUGAAGUUGUGGGGGAAGAGGGAUGGAUUCUGAGCCUGAUUCAUCUGACUUGCUGAGACAUAAAACACCCCAAAGAGAGAUGACAGACUUGGAAAUGUUAAAGGAAGACUGACUCCGAAGUCUGUAAUCCUAACCACAGAGUGACCCUACUUAGCCAGAACUGUCCGAAGCUGCACCAGAAACUGACUUUUUUUUUUUUAAGCAUAAAUCCGGAAAGUCGUGCUCCGGAAAGUCAGACCGUACUGAAACCGGGCCCGGCCUUGGAGAACCGCUUUUCUGGAAAUCUUUUGAAAGUGAGAUACAUCCUGAGUCGCCUUGGAGUGCUUGGAGGGAAAAGGACACUAGUUGGUUGUUAGAUUGUGGGCCAGGAAAGAGAAUAGAGGCCGGCAGCCACGCUUGGUUAAGCAUGACCACUAGAGGGAGCUCCAGUGCCUCCUUCAGUACCAAAGUGGCGACUCCAGUCCCGGGCAGGUGACCUAGAACACCCACACCCUCACAUUCCUGAAGAAUUACGUCCAGGACUUUAAGUACAGCAUGCCACCUCUUCAGACUAUACACAGUCACGCAAAAAUCCACCCAAAAGCGUUCCAGUAAGUUGUCUUCCAAAAACAUCCACAAGACUGGUACCCGGCUUCCUUUUCCUUUAGAGAGGACCAAGUUCCUCUUUCUUAGGAUGAUGGUGACGCUACCUACCUGCACCUGGCCUGGGGUGUUAGGUGGCCUCUUCACCAGGUGCAUGGCAUUCUCAGUAUCUCGCUGUCCCUGGGUGCUGUGCACCUUCCGGUAAUGGUUCAUUCUCCCAUCAUCUGACAGUCAAAAUCUGGCCCAAAUUCUGUGCCUACCAAUCUCUGCGUCUCUUCAGUGCCCCAGUUUGGCUCUGGGUUCCUCCACCAUCUCUGUGACCAACCAUGCAUGGGACCAUGCUGCCAUUGUAGUGUCCACCCAGGGGUUUCUCCUGCAGAGACACGCAUAAAACUCUUUGAAGAUAACAGGAAAACCAGGCUCCAAGUCCUGCCAAAGUUACUUGUUCUCUGCGACCUUUGAUGUGGACUGGACUGGGAUUUCCUUUGCCCCUUCCCCUGCCCUCCCCCACCCCUGGCCGUCCCUUUCUUUUUCUUCCCUUCUUCCCCUCCCUCCGCUCUCCCUCCCUCCCUGCCUGCCUCAUUUUGCUAUGUUGCCCAGGCUAGCCUCACUCCUGUGCUCAUGGAAUCCUCCUGUCCCAACUUCCCAAGUUAGCUGGGGCUACAGCCAUGUGCUUCUUUCCUCUUAGAACAUUUCAUAUGCGGGUCACUGUCACUCAAGAGAUCAGAGCUGUCACGGUAACACACCUGCAUUUGUCUGCAUCUUAACAGUUACUUCUAGCUGAAGAGUACUUUGUUAUAUGUUUUCUGCAUAUAUGCUUAUACAUAAAUUUUAUUUAGUAAAAUAUACAUUUUGUUUUUGUUUUUUGAGACAGGGCUUCUCUGUAGCAUCAGAGCCUGUCCUGGAACUCUCUUUUGUAGACCAGGCUGGCCCCAAGUUCAGAGAUCCACCUGCCUCUGCCUCUGGAGUGCUGGGAAUAAAGGCGUGCGCCACCAACACCCAUCUAAAAUACACAAUUGAUUAUGAA